GGGGCUUCGGCUCCGAGUAAAGCGGCGGACGGGUGCGUAACACGUGGAUAAUCUGCCUCGUGCGGGGGACAACAGUCCGAAAGGACUGCUAAUACCGCAUGUCAGGUCGGAAACUCCGGUUUCUGACGAAAAAGAGGGCGUCCGCAAGGAGCUCUCACCACGAGAUGAGUCCGCGUCCCAUCAGCUAGUUGGCGGUGUAAUGGACCACCAAGGCUUAGACGGGUAGCUGGUCUGAGAGGAUGACCAGCCACACUGGGACUGAGACACGGCCCAGACUCCUACGGGAGGCAGCAGUGGGGAAUAUUGGACAAUGGGCGAAAGCCUGAUCCAGCCAUGCCGCGUGAGUGAUGAAGGCCUUCGGGUCGUAAAGCUCUGUGGGGAGGGACGAAAAAGCGUGACCUAAUACGUCUCGCCUUGACGGUACCUCCUUAGCAAGCACCGGCUAACUCCGUGCCAGCAGCCGCGGUAAUACGGAGGGUGCAAACGUUGCUCGGAAUUAUUGGGCGUAAAGCGCA
rnacentral:rRNA from 1 species